UACGUAGGGCGCAAGCGUUGUCCGGAAUUAUUGGGCGUAAAGAGCUCGUAGGCGGCUUGUCACGUCGAUUGUGAAAGCCCGAGGCUUAACCUCGGGUCUGCAGUCGAUACGGGCUAGCUAGAGUGUGGUAGGGGAGAUCGGAAUUCCUGGUGUAGCGGUGAAAUGCGCAGAUAUCAGGAGGAACACCGGUGGCGAAGGCGGAUCUCUGGGCCGUAACUGACGCUGAGGAGCGAAAGCGUGGGGAGCGAACAGG
rnacentral:rRNA from 1 species